GUCCCUGACUCUGGGUCACCUUGAGCUAGCCGCUCCUCCUCUCUGCCUUUCCCCUUUUUAAAAUAAGGGAGUGAGACCAGAAUCUGCUUUCUAAGGACCCGCCAGGCCUGCUUUUCUCAGGUGUCAGUAACUCAAUAACUGGAACAACAUAAUCAUUUCCAUCCUACAGCUGUGAAAGUCAGAGCGUUGCACGUGCUUCAUCUCAGGUGGACUUAAUAACUGUCCCUCUCUUCCCAGCUCUGUGCAUUUUAAAGAGGAGUCUGGGGAUGUCUCUGCUGCUAAUGGUGGAUUUCAGUUGCCAGAGAGGAAAGAAAACAAACAUUUGCAGGAUGCUUGUGCUUUCCUUGCAAAUGUUCUUUAUUAAUCUUUGCAGAGGUAGAGUCCACUAUCCCCGUUUUACAGGCAAGGAAACUGGGAUUCAGGCCACACAACCGGAUUCUGACAAGUCCGGAGUACGUCCCCUCAUCAUCAGGGCAGGAGGUAACGUGCUGAAUUUAAUAGCAAAGCAAAUUUUGCUGGAGAAGAAAUGAGAUUUCUUUGUCAAGGAAACAGCCGGAGGAACUUCAGCAAGAAACAUGAAAAUAAAGCACAGAGCACGGCCUCCUGACCAGUCAGCAGAGGGGAAAGUCCCCACCAAGUGUGGAGGGAGCAUUCGAGCCCUGCUCCCUGCCAGCCCAGUGCUGGUGCAAAGGGGCUCUCAGAAAGUCACCCAAAUUGCCUCUGACACUUCACCAAUUAAAAUGACUUUAGGACAAGUUGAAAUCAACUUAGGGAGUGAAGCAUUCUGAUUUCUGAGACUCUCCCAAGGCAGCGGGGAAGGCAAGUGUCUGAGCAGGUUGUCACUCACUCAGGAGUAAUGAUGGGAAAAUCCAUCCCGGUAACGUGAUUGAGUUUGGUGAAUUAGUAAGGAUGUUUACACUGUGUGCUGCAAGUUGGAGUGGGGCUGGCAGGGGUUUUGACACAUGUGGCAGCUUCACUCCUAAUGAGGUUCUCGGACUCCACACUCAGCCCGGCUGGACUUCAAGUCGGGCUGGGUCUUACCCUUCAGGCCAGCAUGGCCACGGAGAUAAAGGAAAGCCAGGUUUAUCUCUUCUCCCCUGGAGUAUCUGUUCCCUUAAGAGCCAAGAAGAGACAAGGAAGGUGGGAACCUGCAGAAAACAUAACCACAGUUCUAGUCCUGACGAUGCUUCUGCCUGGCUAUGUGAUCUCAAACAAGCCACUUAACCUCUCUGAGCCUUGUUUUCCUCAUCUGUAAAAUGGGAUAAGCAUGCAACUUCUCUGUGGGUAUCUGAACAGAACUUCUAAAAGUUCUGAGCAGACAUUUGUUGGUAUGCAAGGCAAUGAGUGGCCUCUGGGAGAAAGUUUAGAGAGGGAAAAUGAGAACAGGUUGCUCUUUCUGGUGACCAUGGCUCCCUGAUGGGGGAAGAGGAUUUAAGGACUGACAGGGAGAUUGUAAAACCUGAGGGAAAGAGGCAAGAGUGGGAGAGGAUCCUGGAAUUUAUCAACUAGGCUUGCUGGGAACUCACCAGAGGAAAUUACAGAGGACUACAGCAUGAAAGACUGAAGUCAGACUGGAAACAGACUUCCAGGCAAUCAGGCAACAACAGGCCUAGUCCUUCCUGAUAUCUUUGGCUGUACCUGAGUAAAACCCCAGGAAGGGACGCACAGCCUGACUGUGCUGGAAGGAAGGCAGAAGGAUGGACAGGGAGACCCUGAAGAUGCUUCCGCAGGACCAGAGAAGGAGGCAGCGGAGGCACAGCAGUCCCUCCCCGAGGCUUUCUUUGAGAUUCAUCCUCUGGAGGCCUUGUCGGAACCUACGGUGACCCUGAAGCAGGGGCCAUGUCCUCACAGACAUGCCCAGGUCAGCACUGGGCCACAGCUCUAUUAUUUAAGUGUUUCAUAAAAGAGCAAACCUCCGGGGCUGGAAGAAUGACCGGGAUCCUGACUCUUCCUGCACAGGAAAUGAAGUAGCUGUGUCCAAGCCCUGGCUUGACCUGCAGAGGACUCACCAGCUCUGGCAGAAGUUUCCCAGCCUGAGAGGGCCCUGCUGUGGCUGAGAUGAUGACACCUGGGCCCAGACUGGGUCCCUCCCCUCCACACAGAGCCAGGACCCACCGGUCCCUACACCCACUGCUUGUGGACUCUGCAGUGAUUUUACUGUAAUUUCCUCGUUGUUGCAGUUAAUAGCAUUAGUUUGUUAAUUACUGUAUAUUUUAAAAGUAAGACGAAAGGGAAUUCCCACUGGAGACUUGUUCUUGGCUGAAACAAUGUGAUAUGAGGGAAGGAAGAGUGUUCACGGGUAAUGAGCUUGCCCUGCUGCUUUCUGUUCCCUUGACAGUGCCUGGGGCCAGAGAUGGGGCUGCCAAGGUGGGAGGCAGGGGCCCCCCACAGAGCCCAAGCCCAUCCCUGGAGGGAGUCCUCUGUAGCACCCCACUUAACCCCAAAACCUCUGCCCGGGUCUUCUAUCCCCAGCCCUGCACUAUUGUCAGAGGGAGGCUUCAAGCCUCUAAGGAGGAGGGGUCUGCCUGAGGAGCCCUGGCACCGAGGGAACCAGACCAGAGUGAAAUAAGACACAAGGAAACCUGGCCUGUGACAAGGAGCAUUGAUUGAGUAGGAUGGAAUUUUUAUUAGGAAACAGCUGGAAUUUGGGGAGAGGCUGCUACAUUUAAAUUCAUCCUGAGACUGCAGCCCUAGAGGGGAAAUGGGAGUUGGGCAGGUGCGGCGGGGGGCGGGCAGGCACAGGUCUUGGCAGAGGCAGGAGCAGCAGCUUGUGGUUGUGCACAGAGAUCUGGCUGAGGGGGACAAGCAGGGCCUGCCAUUGAGCCCUGACGCUGCUGUCAGGGCUGUGGGCUGGGUCAGCUCAGAGGAAGGGUGCCUUUGGUAACUCAUCCAACUGAAGGGGGUUGGUGUGUGCUCCUAAAGCCCUGCAUGUUCAAGUUGCCCCCAUUCUCCCCACCCAGAGCCAUAAGGGAAUGGAGGCUGGGGCUGAGCCCCAGGACUCAGGAGGAGUUGGGGGCAGAGGCCGGAGAAGAGCAGAUAGGGAGAGAGAGGGAGGAAGGGAGAGAGACUUAAGACAGAGAAGGAUGGAGGACUGAGAAAGAAGUUCAUACAAUCUACAGGAGCUGAUUAAAAUCCUGGAAGAAAAUGUGAUGGAAAGACUUUCUAUCUUUCUAUUGAGACAUUUAACCUAAAAGAAAUGAGUUAAAUAAUUUAUACAGAGAACGAGUGAAAUUUGCUUUGAUCAAAUUAAAAAAUAUGACUCUGGAAGUAAAGUGUCCGCCACGUCCUUUCCAGGCAGCAGAAAGAGCUGCCGAGAAACAAAAUGACAAAGACAUAAAAAUAACUAACCCUAACCCGGCGAAUAUUAGCACCAUAUUUUUUGGGAGAUUACACGGCAUCACCGUAGGCCAAGCAGAGAAAUCCUCUCUAAGCACCAACAGGAGAGGUUUUGCUCAUUGAGGAAGCCCCAUAAAAGCCAAAAAACGGAUAAAAUUUUCCUUUGCAAAAGUGAUCCGACUUCACUCAGGGGUUGGCCCAGAAGCCACAGGGGAUCAAGUUAAAUUUCCCAUUUGUGCAUUUCAAAAAAAGAAGAAAGCCGCUCAGCUCCCCUCCCCAAUUCUGUGUUUCUUGAAGAUUAUUCCUCUCCCAUUUACACCGCCCCCACCCCCCCCCCACACACACACACACACGCACCUGCCCUUUCUAAAAAAAAUCCGGCAACACCUCAUUCCAUAAAAGUAAGUGUUCCGUUUCAUCUCCUCUUAGGAAACAUCACGGACAAGCUCCAAAACUCACAAGCUAUAAGCAUAAAUGCCAGUGACUUAACCUCUUGGAGCCUCAGUUUGCUACUCUUUAAAAUGGGGCUAGCAUCCACUGCACAGAGUCAUGGUGAAGAUUAAAACAGAUGAAUAGAACCUGGCAGAUGGAAUAUUCAGUAAGUGUUAUGAACACUGUCUUCCUCCUCGACCUAAAGAAAUAUCCAGCAAGUAUAAACCAAAAUGCCAGAGAUCUCUACCCCAGCUCUACCCCCACCUGGAAAGCCCAUGGUGGGAAACCAUUAGUCCAAUCCUGGAGAAAAUAUUUUAGCUUCACGGACAGCAGUCUCUCUGACUUUGGGGGCCCACUUGACUAAAAAAACCACUUUUGUUUCCAAAUAGCUGGGGAGAACAUCCACAGAUUAAAAGCAAGGGCUUCAGAGUCAGUACCAGGUUCAAAUUCUGACUUCACCACUUACUUAGCUGUGUGACCAUGGCCAAGUUAGCUUAAUCACUCCAAGUGUUACUUCAUCUGCAAGAUGGAAUAAUAAUGGAACAACUCUUAUGGGAUUGAACAAGAUAAGGGAUGUAAACAGGGUACCUACUGUAUAGUAAAAGUUCAAUAAAUGACAACAGA
rnacentral:lncRNA from 1 species